GGCUUCGGCCCUGUCGAGAUAGAACCCUUGCCUUUUUGAGUACCUUUCGUUUCCUCGGCAGCCUCGGCUGCCAAUGGGGACCCCAAAAAACACUUUGCAGUACCUGUAACAGUCUGAACAAACAAACAAAAAUUAAAACUUUCAACAACGGAUCUCUUGGUUCUGGCAUCGAUGAAGAACGCAGCGAAAUGCGAUAAGUAGUGUGAAUUGCAGAAUUCAGUGAAUCAUCGAAUCUUUGAACGCACAUUGCGCCCUUUGGUAUUCCUUAGGGCAUGCCUGUUCGAGCGUCAUUUAAACCUUCAAGCUCAUCUUGGUGUUGGGUGACUGUCCGCCGCCCCCGGGCGCGUGGACUCGCCUCAAAAUUAUUGGCGGCCGGUACAUUGGCUUCGAGCGCAGCAAAAACGCGAACUCGGGCCCGUCGUAUUGGCUCCCAGAAGCUAUCUUCACAAUUUUGACCUCGGAUCAAGUAGGGAUACCCGCUGAACUUAAGCAUAUCAAUAAGCGGAGGA
rnacentral:rRNA from 1 species